rnacentral:lncRNA from 1 species
GAGAUGCAGAUGUGAGAAAAGGGCCAUGGACCAUGGAAGAAGAUUUGAUUCUCAUCAAUUAUAUUGCCAAUCAUGGUGAAGGUGUUUGGAACUCUCUCGCCAAAUCUGCAGGUCAAAAUUCUUAUAUAUAAAUAUCACAAUAUUCUACUUUAUCACCAAUUAUUUGUGUGUGUAUGUGUUGAUGAACUAGGGUUUUGAUUUUCACAUGCGAAAUAUAUGUUUAGAUAGAAAAUUUAUAUUGAUCUAAAUCUAUAUGAACUAGGAAUUUUUCUCAUAUAUUAAAAUCAUAAUAUAUAUAUAUAUAUAUAUGUGUAUAUGUGUGUGUGUGUGUGUGUGUGUAAGCAAAGACUAUCUCAAACUAUUUGAAAUCCAUGGAUAAUAUAAAUUUGUAGCAAAGUCUCCCAAAUUUGUGCACAUAUCAGUAAAGCCAAUAAGAUGAUAAAAUUUUGAAUCCAGAUCUUAAUGGAAUGCAUCAAUCGAAUAAAAUCAUCCGAUCCCUUUAAAAUCUCUGUUAUAUUGUAUGUACAUAAUUUUGGAAAUGAUUAUAUUGGUUGUGGAGAAACAAAAAUAUUAAUCUUGUGCCUGUCUAUAACGAAAAAAAUCAUUUAUGUGUACAUUUUUUCGAUUUAUGUUUACCAGUUUUAAUAUAUCUUACUAACACUAUUGUGUUACACAGAUCGACAUGACCUUGUAAUUUGAUCGAACCUCUUUUAUUUAUACGAGAUCGCUUUAACUACAAAAGGUCUUGUUUGGAACUUGUUCCUAACUGCAAUGGUUAGCUAGGGUUUUUAAAACUUGAUAUUUCUUCUUACACUCUCAAUCACAACAACAGAUUUAUCCCAAAAUAACUCAAUGCAAAACACUUCUUAUUUAUUAGCAACGUUUUUAGACCUGACCUAGCCUGUCCGGUUAUAAUUGUUACCCGUAAGCGAAUAAAACUUAUGUUAGGGUUUAAAAAUCGAAUAAUACUAAAACACAAUAACAGACAAGAAAAGAAAAGAAAAUGAUAUUACCAGUGAAUAGAACAAAUACGAUAUAUGUAAUAUAUAUAUACACAUGCAUGCACACAAACGAUAUUUUCUAUUUCUUCAUAAUUUAUUAAUGUAACUAUAAUUCUAUGUAAUAUAUAGGUCUAAAACGCACCGGAAAAAGUUGCCGGCUCCGGUGGCUGAACUACCUCCGACCAGAUGUGCGACGGGGAAAUAUCACAGCAGAAGAACAGCUCAUCAUCAUGGAACUUCAUGCCAAAUGGGGAAAUAGGUUAGUAAUGUGUUUAUACAUACAAAAAUUCUAAAAGUACGUACAAUAUAUAAGGUUAUAUAUAUACGAACGAAGCGAAGCUAGGUUUUCGAAUUGGUUAUAUACAUAGACAUCAAAGCUAUUAAAUUUAUAGACAUCAAAACUAUAAGUUCUCGAACUAUGAAUCGGUUUCAUAUAAAGACUGAAAGGAUCUUUAAAAAGACAUCAAAGCAAGACAUUAGGUGACGAAGCCAAACAUAUUGGUGGGUAUGACAAAACUUACAACUCUUUUUCUCAGCCAUUUGUUUGAGUUUUCCACACGUGUCGAAAAUUUCUUCACCAUUAACAUUAAACCUCGUGCCUAUUCUGGAUUCUGGUUGUAAUUCUCUAUACGACCAUGUACAAAGACAUGUACCAAAUAUACUAUAUACAUCUCUUUUGUCAACACGAAAUACUUAUAUAUUGGGAACUGUAUGUACAAGCAUAAAAGAGAUGUAUACCGAAAGUUAGAUAUUCCAUUAUAUAUGGUCUUAUAAUUGAAAUUCACACCAUACCAUAUAACAGUAGAUGUAGCUGUUUCCUUGCAGCCACAGCUUUGAUCUAACUUCAAUAUAGUCAUUUGUUAUAUCUUAAUUAACAUACGUAUGCAUAAUUAAUAAAUCUUGAUGAUAAAUUAUAUAUUCUUGACUAUGUCAGGUGGUCGAAAAUAGCAAAGCAUUUACCGGGAAGAACCGACAACGAGAUAAAGAAUUUUUGGAGGACCAAGAUCCAGAAAUACAUAAUCAAGAACGGAGAAACGACGACGACCGCUGGAUUGCAAAGCUCUGAGAUCAUGAACCAUCAUGUGACAAGUACAAGCAAAGUCUUGAAUGAUACUCUAGAAGAACCCAUGGAUUUGUACUCUCCAACGACGUCGUAUCAAUAUGCCAACAAUAUCGAUCAUCUUCAGCUUAGUUACGGCACUUAUGUGCCUGAGUCAGAUUCGAUCAUGAUGCCAUUAUCAAUUGAUCAAGACGUACAAAACUAUUGGAGCGUCGAUGAUCUUUGGCCCAUGCAUUUAUAUAAUGGUAAUUAAUUAAUAAUUAAGUAUUUAAAGGGUCCAAAACUAAGAGGGGUAUACAUAUUUUAUAUACAACUAUAUGAGUAACUAAACGUCGAUCCUUAAUAUAAAUUAAAGUUAUAAACAGAUAUUAAGUGUACUGUAUGUAUGGUUUUGCCUCAUUGUUUAGAGGUAGCUAGGUACUCAUCAAGAUAUUCGACGUUAUACCUAAAUAAAACUACGGAAUGGAUCAUAUACGUACGUAUUUUGAAAUCUGUUCAGUGCUAUAUUGUUGAUGUAUAAGAACACCCUUCAAUAUUAUGUUUUGUAUCAACAUACAACGUUUAUUUUUUACGCUCUCUGUGAUUUUUGUUCAAUUAAGUGAUGAAUAUAUAUAAUCGGGAGUUCAAUAUGUUACCGCCGGAUAGUUUUAUUUAUUCUUAUGUUAGAAGAUAAGUUAUGGAAAUAAUUUUUUUUGAGCUAGUGUAUUCUUGUCAAUAAUAUGUAGUAUGUAUGUUAAUACGACUAACGAUACAACGACAAAACUACUACAAACAAUUAUGUACAUAUGGAGAAAUAAAAAAAUGUAGUUACGUUAUUUCUAUUGCAACCACUUUAUGGAGAUAUUUGUCUAAUUUUGAAAAACUUUACAAGCUAUUAUAAAGAGAAAAAGGGAAACAAAAUUAGGGAAUGAUAAUCUAGGUUGCAUGGAAACGGAAACGCAUACGCGGAAACGAAACGUUUCGGAAACGGGAAACGA